CUCUUUCCAUUUUCGCUCUUUCUCAACCAUAGAAAGACAACAUAACCUGCAAAAAGUUUUAUUUUGGCGGUCUGGGAGUACGCAUGUGUCCACAAAAACUUUGUUGAACUACCUAUUUUUCUGCGAAGUCGUAUUGUUUCAGUGGAAAUUAUAGACAAAAGGAAAAGUAUGUCGGCUCGUGAAUCAAAUGCAUGGUGUAUUGUAAGAGAAUGCAACAAAAAUAUAGGGAAAAAACGACACUUCUUUAGUUUUCCAAAAGAACAUGACAGAUGGUUACAAUGGAUACAUGCAUGUGAAAGAUCAGAUUUGAAAGUAAUGGGUGCAGAAUAUGCUUAUCGUACUUAUCGACUAUGCCACUUACAUUUUGAAGAAAAGUGGUAUAGAAUAAACAAGAGUCGAAGUUAUCUUCAUCCAGAUGCUAUACCAACAAUAUUUUUUGGAAAAAAGAGAGACAAUAUGUCCGCUGUAACAACAGUAAUGGAAGAAAAUGGAAAAGAGAUAUAUGAAACUAAAGUACCAAAUAAAAGAAGGAAAGACAAUUUUAAUAUUUUGGAAAGAGAUUGUGAACAACAGGAAAGCAAUACACAUAUGUGUAGCAGCACGAAUUUCACAGAAGAUUUGGAAAGUGCACGGAACAGAAAAUUGCAGCAACAAUAUGUAAAAUGGAAAAAGAUAAUGAAAUCACUGAAAAACGAUCAAAGGAACAGAAGACCUCAAAAGAAAAUUGAAAAUCUGGUAAACACAGAGUCACAUCGCAAAGUGCCUGAAAACGAAUUACAAACCUUACACCAAUUAAAAGGCAAUUGGUACAAUAGACUUUAUCGAUUAUUUUGAUAAACUAUUCGAUAUUUUAAAUUUUUCACCUUUUCAAAGUCCAAAGGAAUUUAAACAAGUUUUUACAGGAAGCAAAAACAAAUAAAAUUUUUAGAUGAAAUGUUACAUUUGUUGAAAAAUAUUAAUGUCAUUAAUGAGAAAGGAUCUCGUAUAAAAGUGAAAUGCUUUGAAUGUUGGCAAAUAACUAUCAGAAGCAUUAUACAACUGUAGGAAAAGUUAAAAUGUCAUAAUUUUCCAUAUAUUUACACACGGAGGUUAAAUCAAGAUUGUCUUGAAAACUUCUUUGGCACCAUUAGGCAACAAGGCGAAUAUAUGGUGUCAAAUGGAGAGUCUUUCGAGUAAACAAUCUGUGUGUUAGCAGUUUGACGACAGAUUAACAACAAUUCAAGCAUUAUCUGUCGACAGUUCCAUAGUUAUCUGUAUCCGCAAUCUGCUGUUGUUCUAUCGACAGAACAUACUAACAGAAUUUUAUAGCAGAUUAACGGUAGACAACGAGCAGGAUCUAAAAUAUGUUCCAUUUUAAUACAUUAAAAUGACAGAUCCUAUUUCAUUUUUAUCAUCAGUCUGAUUAUGUCAUUAGAUCCUGUUAUAUUUAUACCAGCAAGCUGCUUAAGCUUACUUCUUAGAGUCUCUUAGCAACAAUAAAUACGAUUUCGACAUAUCAGGUUUCAGACAACUUGGAUAUACAUUAUCAUUUAUAUACAAGCAUAUUUAUAUACUUAUUUAUAUACAUACUUCUAUACAUAAUUAUAUACAUGUUUAUUAAUUUCUUACUAUUUCUUAUAAAACUUAUAAUCCUUGCGAAAAAAUGUAUAUAUACAAAAUCCUUUUUCACAAUAUGUAUUGUGUGUGGUCUCACUAUGUUGCCUAUGUCACGCCCGACCGACCAGGCUGCCAGCCAGUGAUAAUUUUUUGUCCAAAUAAUCCUUUACCUGAGACACUCCAGGUACGAAACCUUUCUUUCCCAGAAGGAAGGCAUCACUACCAUUCAGACCUUCUUCUAAAGGCGGGAUCACAAAAGCUCAGCAGCAGUCAGUUAGAGUCAGGUGCCGGGAUCGAAAGUCCAAAGAUAGUCCUCACCUCUAAAUCCCAUUUCUCUAAUUCACUAAUUCUAAACCUUAGUUCCUUCUAAUUCUUAAGCAAUUAACUUUAGGUUAUCUUUAACAUUCUUAAAUAUUUACGAGCGUUUUAUUCUAAUGCAUAAUUCUUUAGUUUGUUAAACAGUUUAUUUUAGUUAUUACGUCACUUCC